UACCUGAUUGAUUCUGUCAGCGCGAUAUGCUCAAGUAAAAGAUUAAGCCAUGCAUGCUUUGAUUCAUAAAUGAAAUUGCGUACGGCUCAUUAGAGCAGAUAUCACCUUUCUCGGAAUCCUGAAAAGGAUAACUGCGGAAAUUCUGGAGCUAAUACAUGCGACUAUACUCCAACGCAAGGCGGGGUGCAAUUAUUAGAACAGACCAAACGUUUUCGGACGUUGUUUGUUGACUCUGAAUACCGUCGUUUACUGUCAGUUUCGACUGACUCUAUCCGAGAAGGGUGUCUGCCCUUUCAACUAGAUGGUAAUCUAUUGGACUACCAUGGUUGUUACGGGUAACGGAGAAUUAGGGUUCGACUCCGGAGAGGGAGCCUUAGAAACGGCUACCACGUCCAAGGAAGGCAGCAGGCGCGAAACUUAUCCACUGUUGAGUAUGAGAUAGUGACUAAAAAAUAUAAAGACUCAUCCUUUUGGAUGAGUUAUUUCAAUGAGUUGAAUAUAAAUUAUUCUUCGAGUAGCAAGGAGAGGGCAAGUCUGGUGCCAGCAGCCGCGGUAAUUCCAGCUCUCCUAGUGUAUCUCGUUAUUGCUGCGGUUAAAAAGCUC
rnacentral:ncRNA from 1 species